ACAGGCGCCGCGCGGGCCGCCCGCCCCGCGCCCUCGCUGCCUCAGAGCCUUCUGGGAAAUGUAGUCCUGCGGGAGGUGCCGCUGCCCACCGAAUUUGCAGCGAGAGCUCCUCGGAAAUGCACAAUGAUGGGGGGGAAAAGAGACGAAAGCCCUAGGACCUCCUCCCCAGACCCCUGUGCACACAUUCUUCCUGCUGCCGCCCCACUCUCUCAAGUUCACCGCACACGCGCCCCAGCUCCCCACCCCACCCCCGACCCUCGAGCCGCGCCCCCGCCCCCCGCGGGCUGGCGCCUCUGCUCCGGCAGGCGGCUGCGGAGCAACUCCGCUCCCCUGUAGAUCGAGCUGGGUAGGUGCAGGGAGGUGGGCGCUGCGAAUCAGAAGGGCAAGGGGAGGGGGGAGCCUGCAGGAUGCGCUGAAGGACACAGGGGUUGGCGUGGGGGAGGGUCCUUCUCUGUGGGAACCCCACGCGGCCCCGGCGCGGAGCAGAGGGUUGGAGUGGCGAGGUCCGGGCUGGAGCGGACCUGGCGGAGCUGACCGUGAUCACCUGUCAGGAUGACAGAAGGCUGUCUCGGAGCCAGAGCUAGCCCCGGAACUGGGUUUGCAGCUUCUCUGCUGAUCGUCUCUCUCUCCUCCUGAGCGAUCGAUACCCUGGACUGCCUCUUCCCAAACCCCGGCUGGACCCUCACUCCAUCCAUCACUUUGGCUUCUUUCCCUGAAGAAUAUUUUUCUCUGCGGGAAGGGCUUCUACCAGAGCCUCGGCAUGGGGAGAUUUCUCAUCAGAUCUGUCCUUUCCCUUGCUACGCCUGGGAAAGACCUUCAUUAUCCACCUCUCUCUUUUUCUCAGCUGAUAACGUUUCUUUCCACCCUCACACAGUCAAGAGACAAAAGCCUGCCCUUCCCCAUCACAUCAGAAGAAAGCUGUGAAUUCUCCUAUUCCUCCUCAGCCCCUCACAGGUCACCCCAUAUUCCUGCCUUCCGCUAAGGGGGAAUAGCAUCGGAGGCAAAUAAGUCCAAGACUUCAGGACCUCUCAGAUUCCUUCUCACUUUCCCCUCCAGAAUGAUCUCUGAGGACAGGGAAUCUUAGCUGGAGAACCCGAGAGGACCCCCUAGGGUGUCCAGGAUCCUGGUGAGGUUGAACGUAAUAUUGUGCCCAGGUGUAUUUCUCUAGGGAAGGUAAAUGCAGCCUGUGACGGUCAGCGGGGAGAGAGGUGCGAAUGGGUUCAGCAAGAACCUUUCUGGUGAAGAGGGCAAGCAUAUGGCCCCCCUCGACUCCGGCAGGAAGCUUGUCUGGGUCACAGAUGGUAGGAGAACAAAUGAAGACGGCAUGUGGAGGCCCCUCUCUCUCUCUCUCUCUCUCUCUCUCUCUCUCUCUCUCUCUCUCACACACACACACACCUUUUGAGUUGUCUCUAAAUUUGCUAAUGAGCCUCGGUCUCUUUGGACCAAUUGAUGUUACCAAGAGCGAUGUCACCAGGAGCCGCUCUUCAGUCUGCAGAUUCUACAGCGUGGGGUGCCGAGGGGAGAGGGGCAGAAGGAUGUGUUGGUGGGAAUGCAGGUAUUUGUCCAAACACGGAAAGCGAGGGGAGGGAGAAGGAGAAAGAAUCCUCGGCGGGGCUCCAGGCUCGGCUCCUUCGUGGCAAAUGCUGGAAGCACGGUUUAUUCCAAUGUGUGGUAACAAGCACCAGAAAACAACACACAGUGUUCUCCUCCCGCCCACGCAGGCGAUCAGAGACGGGAAACCUGGGGCCACGAUGGCGGGGGGAGCUCUGCUCAG